rnacentral:rRNA from 1 species
AAUACGUAGGUGACACGCGUUAUCCGGAUUUACUGGGCGUAAAGGGCGUGUAGGCGGUCUUGCAAGUCAGAAGUGAAAUUCCUGAGCUCAACUCGGGCGCUGCUUCUGAAACUGCAGGACUUGAGUGCUGGAGGGGAUAGCGGAAUUCCUAGUGGAGCGGUAAAAUGCGCAGAUAUUAGGAAGAACACCGGUGGCGAAGGCGGCUAGCUGGACAGUACCUGAGGCUGUGGCGCGAUAGCGUGGGGAACAAUCAGGAUUAUAUACCCUGCGAUUCCACGCCGUAAACGAUGAAUACUAGGUGUAGAGGCUGUCGCCUCCCUCUGUGCCGCAGUUAACACAAUAAGUAUUCCGCCUGGGGAGUACGGCCGCAGGGUUGAAACUCAGAGAAAUUGACUGGG